GAUGAACGCUGGCGGCGUGCCUAAUACAUGCAAGUCGAGCGAACAGACGAGGAGCUUGCUCCUCUGACGUUAGCGGCGGACGGGUGAGUAACACGUGGAUAACCUACCUAUAAGACUGGGAUAACUUCGGGAAACCGGAGCUAAUACCGGAUAAUAUAUUGAACCGCAUGGUUCAAUAGUGAAAGACGGUUUUGCUGUCACUUAUAGAUGGAUCCGCGCCGCAUUAGCUAGUUGGUAAGGUAACGGCUUACCAAGGCGACGAUGCGUAGCCGACCUGAGAGGGUGAUCGCCCACACUGGAACUGAGACACGGUCCAGACUCCUACGAGAGGCAGCAGUAGGGAAUCUUCCGCAGAGGGCGAAAGCCUGACGGAGCAACGCCGCGUGAGUGAUGAAGGUCUUCGGAUCGUAAAACUCUGUUAUUAGGGAAGAACAAAUGUGUAAGUAACUAUGCACGUCUUGACGGUACCUAAUCAGAAAGCCACGGCUAACUACGUG
rnacentral:rRNA from 1 species